rnacentral:lncRNA from 1 species
CCCCCUUGUCUUUGAAGGAUUUGUGUGUAGAAUAAUGAGAUGUAUAGGGGGGUUGAGUUACAGAGGGAGUUGCUAUCAUCAAUUCAUCAUGCACAUACAUGCUAGUUCCUUAACUCUCCUCAUACUCACGUGAUUAAUUCAGUGCAUGUUAAACAUUUUUUACGUCUGUUUCAGUUAUAGAUGCUGCUCCUCUCUAAAUAGGUGGCUGGAAGAACCCCUAUCUUUAAUUUUGCCUAAACUUGUAACAGGUCGUGGAUUAAUAAAGGUUACUUUUUCUGUAAAAAAAUGUACGCUCAGUUGUGGACUGGACUGCAGUGCUUUCUGUAAAAACAAACUUCAUACCUUGUUUUCAUAAUGUCAGAAAACUAUUCUUGAUGGUUUUGUAGGUUGACGGCGGAUACUUGAGAGUAUUUGGUUUAUGUAACUUCUAAGCAGGUUCAUUGAUUCUAGAGUUGCCGCCUUCUGUUAUGUGUAGAUGUAAAUGUAAAAGAAACAGUAAGUAAUCUCCCUUUCUUUUCUUUUGUAUUUGUCAUGAUUUUAUAUAACAUGUCUUAUUGCAGCUAUGCAUUGCUUCAAUUGUACUGAUCGCCUAUGAUAAAAAGGGAAUAAUAUUUUGUCCAAAGUGAGCAGAUGAGAGAAUAAUAAUGCUUAUUUUCUGACAAACAAUGUGGCUUCCGUAAUAGCCUACAGUAGCUCUGGACUGAACUAGACGGGCGCUCUCUGCUACCUUGCAAGUCUGUGUGUUACCUCACAUGAAAGUAUACUCAUUCACACGCUGCUAUAUUAUCUCCUAAUGCCUUCCCCUAAUAACAGAGCCCGUAAUCAGUACAUGUCAGGAAUAUGUCCUCAUCUGUACACAUAAAUUUCUACUACUGUACAUUGCAUCUUAUUUAUUGUAUGCUUUUCUGGUCUAAUGAACUGGAAUUGAAGUCCUGUUUUGGUUUGUUCUUAAAUCUGACGUAUGUACCUGAAUACCAUCUAUGGUUUACUUUCUUAGAUACAUUAAAUUUUAGUAAGUUUCAUGGAAACAAUUUUGCACAUCUAAAGUAUGGUGCGACCCCUUCUGAUUGCUUUCCGCACUAUUGUAUAUUUAAAACAUGAUUCAUAUAUGAUAUUUUUCAAUUUGUUAUCCUCCCAUAAUCACCCAGUUAAUGUAUUCCGCCAUUAAAAGUAUACCAGAUGCUCUUUUAUUACUGUAUUUUACACUCUUGGGUACAACUUAUUUGUUUUGUUGUCUUUACUAGGGAGACACUUCAUUGUUCUUUUAAGUGAUCAAAGUCAGCAGAAUUCUUUUUUGUAACAUUGUUCUCAUCUCUGAACACUUACAAUGAAACACAUUAAUUGACAUAUGAUUUGUUAGCUUUCUAUAACGUUUUAUUUCUCUGAAAUCAAUUAUUGCAAAGAUUCAUUGCCAGUGCUCCAUGUUGUAAAGAUUCAAUGUUUUAGUGGUUAUAUUAACCCAAAGUUUUCUUUAAAUGGUUAUCUCAUUACAUCCAGCAUCUGCUGUUAGUUGUUUUUCAUCUGUACCAUCUUAUCUGUUCAGGUUGGCAUCACACUUGAAGAUCUUUUGGUUAACAUGUAGUUAUACUAGUGAACUAGGAUGUCUACAUGGUGAUUCAUUUGUUCAUAGUGACAACACAAUCAGGUGGGGUGAGGCUAUCAAUCUGUGAUCUUUCAAGCAUUGCAAGUUUGGUGCUCUUCUGCUGGCGACAUGGGGCCAUCUUUGAAUAAUGCAGUUUCACAUGAUGAUGGCGAGUCUGGUUUUCAGAACAUCUCAUGAAAAUGGCAAUGUCAUUUGACAAACGGCUGUGCUGAAAUAUACAGAAGUGUGAACAUGCCAUUGUUUCCUAGACAUAGUUGUAGCCUUAUGUCAAGCUCAAACCGUUAGUGUAGCUUAGUUUGAAGACAUGACAUCUUAUUGUCGCAUGUAAAUUAUGUUUACCGAUGUGGUUGGUUGCUACUGAACACAUCUAUGGAUGUUGAAAUCUUGAAUUUUUAGUUUGAAUGUGUUUCAGGUCUGCUAUUGAAUCUUGAGUGAAAUGAUGUACGAUGCCUAGGCAUAUUGUGAUUGGAUACUAAAUCGGGGAUAUGUUUCCUAUAACAGAAUAGAUUGUUG